UUGCUGCUGACUUUUCAUUGUAAAUACUGUGGAAAGAAGCCUGUUAAUAUUUCUUGUCACAGAAGCUAUAGUUUGCAAACUGGGAUACACCCCUUGAGCGGCUUCCCUGGUGGUAAAGAAUCUGCCUGCGAAUGCAGGAGACACAGGUUUAAUCCCUGGAUCAGGAAGACCCUUUGAAGGGAAUGACAACCCACUCCAGUGUUUUUGCCUAGGAAAUCCCAUGGACAGAGAGAGGGCCCUGGAGGUCUACAAUCCAUGGGGUGGCAAAAGAGUCAGACACGACUUAGUGACUAACCACUACCACCAGCCCCCCAGAGUAUGGUAAAAUAUUUCCAAAUGUUAUGCGCGUAUGCUUCUAGGAAAAUUCACAGAAUUCACCUUCCAUGUAUAUACUGCUUAACUGUGAUCCUGCCUAGAAAGAACUUGUGAACAGGGUGCAGCUUUUCCUUUCCUUCAUUUUGCAGGGAACCCUUCUCCCAUGUAUAAAAUGAGCAGCACAUACCUUUAACCUUCUAGUCUUAUGAUGAUACAUCCAACUAAGGUGUUCAGACCUAUGGAGCUAAAGGAGUUUGAGAUAUUGUUGUCAGUGAUGCAGUGUUCCGCUGUUCACACACGGACAAUGGGUUUCUAUGAAGCUGGGAAAGAAGUAUGCUCCAGGUGUUCGAAGAGCAGGUAGGGAGUCCAGGUUAUUCCAUGAUGAGGCAGUGCUUGGAAGAAGUGGUGUCUGGAAUGAUCAGAAGAGGAAGAAGGAAUGACAGCUGUUUGUCUUAACAACCAAGAGUGGAGAUUACAAAGCCAACUAAAGCAAUAUAGAAGUUUAAGGUCUAUUUAGUACUGGCAUACUGAAG
ensembl:lncRNA